rnacentral:rRNA from 2 species
GGUUGACCUCGGAUCAGGUAGGGAUACCCGCUGAACUUAAGCAUAUCAAUAAGCGGAGGAAAAGAAACCAACCGGGAUUGCCUCAGUAACGGCGAGUGAAGCGGCAAGAGCUCAAAUUUGAAAGCUGGCUCCUUCGGAGUCCGCAUUGUAAUUUGCAGAGGAUGCUUUGGGUGCGGCCCCCGUCUAAGUGCCCUGGAACGGGCCGUCAGAGAGGGUGAGAAUCCCGUCUUGGGCGGGGUGUCCGUGCCCGUGUAAAGCUCCUUCGACGAGUCGAGUUGUUUGGGAAUGCAGCUCUAAAUGGGUGGUAAAUUUCAUCUAAAGCUAAAUACUGGCCGGAGACCGAUAGCGCACAAGUAGAGUGAUCGAAAGAUGAAAAGCACUUUGAAAAGAGAGUUAAACAGCACGUGAAAUUGUUGAAAGGGAAGCGCUUGCGACCAGACUCGCCCGCGGGGUUCAGCCGGCAUUCGUGCCGGUGUACUUCCCCGUGGGCGGGCCAGCGUCGGUUUGGGCGGCCGGUCAAAGGCCCCUGGAAUGUAGUGCCCUCCGGGGCACCUUAUAGCCAGGGGUGCAAUGCGGCCAGCCUGGACCGAGGAACGCGCUUCGGCACGGACGCUGGCAUAAUGGUCGUAAACGACC